UACGAAGGGUGCAAACGUUGCUCGGAAUCAUUGGGCGUAAAGCGCACGUAGGCGGCCUGUUAAGUCGGAUGUGAAAUCCCUCGGCUCAACCGAGGACGUGCAUUCGAAACUGGCAAGCUCGAGUAUGGAAGAGGGUCGCGGAAUUCCCGGUGUAGAGGUGAAAUUCGUAGAUAUCUGGAGGAACACCGGUGGCGAAGGCGGCAUCCUGGACCGACACUGACGCUGAGGCGCGAAAGCUAGGGUAGCAAACGGG
rnacentral:rRNA from 1 species